AGAAACCCUGUCUCGAAAAAAAAAAAAAAGAAAAAGAGUCCUUAGCAUAGGAGGCCGUGGGUCAGACCCCCGUACCACACACACAAAACAGGCAAAUUCCAGGCAAGGAUGAACAGAACAAAGCUCUCAAACUCCCAGGUCCGGAGCUCUUCAUAUCUGGUGUCCAUCUAUAGGGAUUUAUUGCUGCUAUCAGAGUUGGUGUCUGGCUUUUUUUCUUCCUUCCUAGGUUUUAGAGACCUACCUCACCAAAGUCUGAACUUGAGGAAAAAGUUCUAAAUGAACCCAUUUGUAGGAGACCUGAGGUGCUUCUGAUCUGGAAUACGCUCUAAAUGACACACCUGUUCUAACAGCGCCGCCAAGUGGUAGACAUGGUUGUGUCUGUGCAUCACAUAUGUGCCAGGGUCCACUGAAAGUCAGAAGAGAGUGUUGAAUCUUCCAGAACUGGAGUUACUUCUGAGGCGCCUCCCCAGCCCCUGCAGACAGACGUUAGUAAACUAUUUUUUCUUUCAGCCUUUCUCAGUGUCUGUCUGUAUGUCUGUCUGUCUCUCUGUCUUGUCUGUCUGUCUCUUUCUCCGCGCGCGCGCGUGUGUGUGUGUGUGUGUGUAGCCACACGCUGUAUGAAGGUCAGAGACAUUUCUAUUUUUGUCUUUAUGUGAGAUCCCAAGGAUGAACUCAGGCUGAUUAUCUACACCCAGGUAAAGAGCAGAGCAUGGUAGUGUACAACUGUAACCCCAGGCUGGGGAAGGAGACACAGAGGAUCCCUUGGGUCUCAUUGGUUAGCCAACCUAGCAGAACAAGCUAGCUCUGGGAUUAGUGAGACAGACUGAAGAAGUAAUAAAGACAACUAGACGGGCAUCCACUUCUGCCCUCUACAUGCACAAGUGAACAUGUAAACCUAUGUAUACCAUACAAAAAGAACAAGUCCUUUAAAAGUGCACCACUGUCAGGGCACAGCCACACUACCUUGUGAGCUGCAGGAUACAGCUGUGACAAGCACUGUCACAAGCUGUGUCCUCCAAAUCCUUGUCCACAUCAGCUUCUCGGUGGAUCCUGGGGAUUGGACUCAGGUCCUCAGGCCUGGUAGCAAGCACCUUUGCCCAGGGAGCUGUCGCAUCAGCCCUGCACCACAGCUUU
rnacentral:lncRNA from 1 species